rnacentral:rRNA from 1 species
AGCGAACGCUGGCGGCAGGCCUAACACAUGCGAGUCGAACGAAGUCUUCGGACUUAGUGGCGGACGGGUGAGUAACACGUGGGAACGUACCUUUUGGUUCGGAAUAACUCAGGGAAACUUGAGCUAAUACCGAAUGUGCCCUUCGGGGGAAAGAUUUUUCGCCUUUAGAGCGGCCCGCGUCUGAUUAGCUUGUUGGUGAGGUAAUGGCUCACCAAGGCGACGAUCAGUAGCUGGUCUGAGAGGAUGACCAGCCACAUUGGGACUGAGACACGGCCCAAACUCCUACGGGAGGCAGCAGUGGGGAAUCUUGCGCAAUGGGCGAAAGCCUGACGCAGCCAUGCCGCGUGGAUGAUGAAGGUCUUAGGAUUGUAAAAUCCUUUCACCGGUGAAGAUAAUGACUGUAGCCGGAGAAGAAGCCCCGGCUAACUUCGUGCCAGCAGCCGCCGUAACAC